GAAAAAAAAAAAAAGAAGGGGGGAGAGGGACUAGCUAGGGAGGGUUGAGUGAACCCAAGAAAAGACUGAAGAGAGGGGUUUGAACCUUUGAGGGAUUCAUCAGGAACGAGGAGGGGCUAGGGAAGAAUAACUAUGAUGAUCCUUUGAUCCUUCUAAAAUAUUAUGCCCUAUUGCGCACAGACAGAGAAUGGAAUGAACCAUCCAAUCCAAUCUGAUUAUUUUUUAGCUCGUCUUUUUGAGUGUUAAGCCACUUCUUCUUCCCUUGUUCCCUUUUCAAUUAAUUACACCCAUCACCCUCCACCACCUUCCUUCUCUCUCUCUCUCUCU
rnacentral:misc_RNA from 1 species